rnacentral:rRNA from 1 species
CCUACGGGGGGCAGCAGUGAGGAAUAUUGGUCAAUGGGCGCGAGCCUGAACCAGCCAAGUAGCGUGAAGGAUGACUGCCCUACGGGUUGUAAACUUCUUUUAUAAAGGAAUAAAGUGAGCCACGUGUGCCUUUUUGUAUGUAUUUUAUGAAUAAGGAUCGGCUAACUCCGUGCCAGCAGCCGCGGUAAUACGGAGGAUCCGAGCGUUAUCCGGAUUUAUUGGGUUUAAAGGGAGCGUAGAUGGGUUGUUAAGUCAGUUGUGAAAGUUUGCGGCUCAACCCUAAAAUUGCAAUUGAUACUGGCAGCCUUGAGUACAGAUGAGGUAGGCGGAAUACGUGGUGUAGCGGUGAAAUGCUUAGAUAUCACGUAGAACUCCGAUAGCGAAGGCAGCCUACUAGACUGCCACUGACAUUGAUGCUCGAGAGUGUGGGUAGCAAACAGGAUUAGAUACCCGGGUAGUC